GACGAACGCUGGCGGCGUGCUUAACACAUGCAAGUCGAACGGAAAGGCCCUGCUUUUGUGGGGUGCUCGAGUGGCGAACGGGUGAGUAACACGUGAGUAACCUGCCCUUGUCUUUGGGAUAACUUCAGGAAACUGGGGCUAAUACCGUAUAGGAUCUCCUGCUGCAUGGUGGGGGUUGGAAAGUUUCGGCGGGUGGGGAUGGACGCGCGGCUUAUCAGCUUGUUGGUGGGGUAGUGGCUUACCAAGGCUUUGACGGGUAGCCGGCCUGAGAGGGUGAACGGGCACAUUGGGACUGAGAUACGGCCCAGACGGCUACGGGAGGCAGCGGUGGGGAAUAUUGCACAAUGGGCGGAAGCCUGAUGCAGAGACGCCGCGUGCGGGAUGACGGCCUUCGGGUUGUAAACCGCUUUCGCCUGUGACGAAGCGUGAGUGACGGUAAUGGGUAAAGAAGCACCGGCUAACUACGUG
rnacentral:rRNA from 1 species